rnacentral:rRNA from 1 species
AACGAACGCUGGCGGCGUGUUUAAUACAUAAGUAUGCAAGGGAAACGCUUUAGUGCUAGAGGAUGGGUCUGUAUGGUAUCAGUUAGUUGGUGAGGUAAUGGCUCACCAAGACUAUGACGCCUAACUGGUUUGAGAGGAUGAUCAGUCACACUGGAACUGAGACACGGUCCAGACUCCUACGGGAGGCAGCAGUGGGAAUAUUGCACAAUGGACGAAAGUCUGAUGCAGCAACGCCGCGUGGAGGAUGACACAUUUCGGUGCGUAAACUCCUUUUAUAUAGGAAGAUAAUGACGGUACUAUAUGAAUAAGCACCGGCUAACUCCGUG